rnacentral:rRNA from 1 species
AAACUUGAGCUAAUACCGGAUACGCCCUUASGGGGAAAGAUUAUUGCCGAAGGAUYGGCCCGCGUCCGAUUAGCUAGUUGGUGAGGUAAUGGCUCACCAAGGCGACGAUCGGUAGCUGKUCUGAGAGGAUGAUCAGCCWCACUGGGAYUGAGACACGGCCCAGAYUCCUACGGGAGGCAGCAGUGGGGAAUAUUGGACAAUGGGCGCAAGCCUGAUCCAGCCAUSCCGCGUGAGUGAUGAAGGCCCUAGGGUUGUAAAGCUCUUUCRCCAGGGAMGAUAAUGACGGUACCUGGAUAAUAAGCCCCGGCUAACUUC